AAAGCAUACAUACAGAUUACUCAACAUAGGAAUAGAAUCCAAACAAACACAAAAUACCAAUAUUCAAUAAAUAUCUUUACAAACUCUCACAUUUAAUUAGGUUACAAGUCAAUGGCACAAACUUUCUCACUCUUUCCAAAUACAUACUGUACGAUGACAUGCUUAAUCAUAUUACGAGUUUUCAAGAAAAAUGUCCGAAAAUUCAUGGCAUUUACAUUUACUGCGACCCAAGAAGAGCAGAAAACAACAUGGACAACAAGGAAAAACAAAUAAAACCAGAAUUGAACCCUUUUUGCGAGGCCAAAAUCAUCGACACAGACGGGACAAUAGUAGUUUCAUUAUCAGCAUGAAUGAAACAAGAGCUGAACCAAGUUGCUCCGAACCAUUCAUCAUUGAAGAAAAAUUACAUCAAUUGUUCUAUAGUAAUACAAGGAACCAAAUACGAUGACACCGAAUUAUUCCAUGAAGAAAAUAUGAAAUUAACCUUUCCUAAAACCUAUCAAAAACCUAUCAAAAACAAUAAAUACAACGUUGGAAGAUCUGAGCCUGAGCAAAAUGUUACUACACUUUGGCUAUACUUCAGCAAAAUAAAACCAAAAUAAUUCCAGAAUCUUUAAUUCCUGACCUACACAUCCUACCUAACCCUGCUACCGCGAUCAACUACGUUCCGUCCAUACCAUCAAAUACCAACGAAGACAUUCCUCAAAUCUGCAGGACUUAAGCUAACUGUCAAACCGGAAAGAAAUAAAGAACAACUGGAAUUAAA